rnacentral:rRNA from 1 species
CCUACGGGGGGCUGCAGUGAGGAAUAUUGGUCAAUGGGCGAGAGCCUGAACCAGCCAAGUCGCGUGAGGGAGUACUGCCCUAUGGGUUGUAAACCUCUUUUGUCGGGGAGCAAAAGCCGGACGUGUCCGGCUGUGAGAGUACCCGAAGAAAAAGCAUCGGCUAACUCCGUGCCAGCAGCCGCGGUAAUACGGGGGAUGCGAGCGUUAUCCGGAUUUAUUGGGUUUAAAGGGGGCGCAGGCGGAUUUUUAAGUCAGCGGUAAAAUCGUGGGGCUCAACCCCAUCCAGCCGUUGAAACUGGGGAUCUAGAGUGUGCGAGAGGUAUGCGGAAUGCGUGGUGUAGCGGUGAAAUGCAUAGAUAUCACGCAGAACCCCGAUUGCGAAGGCAGCAUACCGGUGCACAACUGACGCUCAGGCACGAAAGCGUGGGUAUCGAACAGGAUUAGAUACCCUUGUAGUC